UGGAUAAUCUUCUGGUGGAGGAUGUCAGGAGUGAUGGUGUUGAACGCCAAGCUGAAGUCCACAAACAGGAUCCUGGCGUACGUCCCUCGGGUGUCUAGGUGGCGCAGGAUGUAGUGCAGUCACAUGUUGACCGCAUCGUCCACCGACCUGUUUGCCCGGUAGGCAAACUGCAAGGGGUCGAGCAGGGGGGCCGUGAUGUCCUUCAGAUGGCUCAACACUAGCCUCUCAAAGGAUUUCAUGACCACAGAUGUCAGGGCGACAGUAUAAGACUGGAGUUU